rnacentral:rRNA from 1 species
UACGGGAGCAGCAGUGGGGAAUAUUGCACAAUGGGCGAAAGCCUGAUGCAGCUAUGCCGCGUGUAUGAAGAAGGCCUUAGGGUUGUAAAGUACUUUCAUCGGGGAGGAAAAAACAAAACUAAUAAUUUUAUUUCUUGACGUUACCCGAAAAAGAAGCACCGGCUAACUCCGUGCCAGCAGCCGCGGUAAUACGGAGGGUGCUAGCGUUAAUCAGAAUUACUGGGCGUAAAGAGCACGUAGGUGGUUUUUUUAAGUCAGAUGUGAAAUCCCUGGGCUUAACCUAGGAACUGCAUUUUGAAACUGAAAUACUAGAGUAUCGUAGAGGGAGGUAGAAUUCUAGGUGUAGCGGUGAAAUGCGUAGAUAUCUGGAGGAAUACCUGUGGCGAAAGCGGCCUCCUAAACGAAUACUGACACUGAGGUGCGAAAGCGUGGGGAGCAAACAGGGAUUAGAUACC